UCGAUUCCCUUAGUAGCGGCGAGCGAAACGGGAAGAGCCCAAACCAACAAGCUUGCUUGUUGGGGUUGUAGGACACUCUAUACGGAGUUACAAAGGACGACAUUAGACGAAUCAUCUGGAAAGAUGAAUCAAAGAAGGUAAUAAUCCUGUAGUCGAAAAUGUUGUCUCUCUUGAGUGGAUCCUGAGUACGACGGAGCACGUGAAAUUCCGUCGGAAUCUGGGAGGACCAUCUCCUAAGGCUAAAUACUCUCUAGUGACCGAUAGUGAACCAGUACCGUGAGGGAAAGGUGAAAAGCACCCCGGAAGGGGAGUGAAAUAGAACCUGAAACCGUGUGCUUACAAGUAGUCAGAGCCCGUUAAUGGGUGAUGGCGUGCCUUUUGUAGAAUGAACCGGCGAGUUACGAUUUGAUGCAAGGUUAAGCAGUAAAUGUGGAGCCGUAGCGAAAGCGAGUCUGAAUAGGGCGUUUAGUAUUUGGUCGUAGACCCGAAACCAGGUGAUCUACCCUUGGUCAGGUUGAAGUUCAGGUAACACUGAAUGGAGGACCGAACCGACUUACGUUGAAAAGUGAGCGGAUGAACUGAGGGUAGCGGAGAAAUUCCAAUCGAACCUGGAGAUAGCUGGUUCUCUCCGAAAUAGCUUUAGGGCUAGCCUCAAGUGAUGAUUAUUGGAGGUAGAGCACUGUUUGGACGAGGGGCCCCUCUCGGGUUACCGAAUUCAGACAAACUCCGAAUGCCAAUUAAUUUAACUUGGGAGUCAGAACAUGGGUGAUAAGGUCCGUGUUCGAAAGGGAAACAGCCCAGACCACCAGCUAAGGUCCCAAAAUAUAUGUUAAGUGGAAAAGGAUGUGGCGUUGCCCAGACAACUAGGAUGUUGGCUUAGAAGCAGCCAUCAUUUAAAGAGUGCGUAAUAGCUCACUAGUCGAGUGACACUGCGCCGAAAAUGUACCGGGGCUAAACAUAUUACCGAAGCUGUGGAUUGUCCUUUGGACAAUGGUAGGAGAGCGUUCUAAGGGCGUUGAAGCAUGAUCGUAAGGACAUGUGGAGCGCUUAGAAGUGAGAAUGCCGGUGUGAGUAGCGAAAGACGGGUGAGAAUCCCGUCCACCGAUUGACUAAGGUUUCCAGAGGAAGG
rnacentral:rRNA from 1 species